rnacentral:rRNA from 1 species
UACGUAGGGUGCAGGCGUUAAUCGGAAUUACUGGGCGUAAAGCGUGCGCAGGCGGUUUCUUAAGUCAGAUGUGAAAGCCCCGGGCUUAACCUGGGAACUGCGUUUGAAACUGGGAGACUAGAGUGUGGCAGAGGGGGGUGGAAUUCCACGUGUAGCAGUGAAAUGCGUAGAUAUGUGGAGGAACACCGAUGGCGAAGGCAGCCCCCUGGGAUAAUAUUGACGCUCAUGCACGAAAGCGUGGGGAGCAAACAGG